CGAGAUUGCCGGCUCUGUGCACGGCUAGAGCGGCCUGUGAGCCCAGGGGCGGGCCAGCUGGCAGUUGGGAGCUUUCUUGGGGACCGAGUUCAGUUUUACAGCUCAUCGGAUAUGCCACGUCUGUGAUUUCCUCUGCAGUUUCUUGCUCAGGUCACGCGUCUUGCUCUGACAACUUCAGCCCUUUGAUUUCAGUUAGUACAGCACCCGACAGCUACAGCCAGAGCUGGCCCUCUCUGCAAUAGGUCCCCCUUCCUCCCACUGCCCCCAGUAAGCCAGUCUUUGGUGAGGAGAUGUAGCCAUGAAACUUGAGUGUUGAGCCCUGUCUAGGGAGCAGAGUAACAUCUUUUUAAAGUAUCUUUUUCUUUGGGGUCUUGGAUGCUUAAUGAGGUUCACCAGGAGAGGUUGUCAACAAGGGUCAGGAAGAUGCAGGAGCACAGGCAGUUCAGCAGAUAAAAUGGAAUACUAAAAAAUAUUUGAUUAAUCAAAAGAUGUCAGGAAAGGAAGAACGAAGAUAAUAUGGGACAAAUAGAAAACAAAUAGCAUGCUGACAGACUUAAGUCCAUCUGUAUCAGUAAUUGAAUUAAAAGUAAAUGUGGAAUAAAAAAAUGCAAUAUGGAAUCCUGGAUUGGAUCCUGGAACAGAGAAAGGACAUUUAUGAAAAGACUGGUGACAUCCAAAUAAAGUCUGGAGUUUAUGUAAUAGUAAUGUGCUAGUUUUGGUUUUUUAGUUUUGGUAAAUACGCUAUGCUUAUGUAAGAUAUUAACAUUAGUGGAAACUAGGUGAGAAGUAUUUAGGACCUGUAGUAGUAUUUUUGAAACUAUUCUGUAAAUCUAAAGUUAUUCCAAAAUAAAAUGCUUAUUAAAAAAUGUAAGUAGACUAAAUAUCAAAUAAAAAUCUUAACAAUAUCAGUCUGAAUUCAGAAAA